GACGUAGGGCGCGAGCGUUGUCCGGAUUUAUUGGGCGUAAAGAGCUCGUAGGCGGCUUGUCGCGUCGAAUGUGAAAUCUCGGGGCUCAACUCCGAGCUUGCAUUCGAUACGGGCAGGCUAGAGUUCGGUAGGGGAGACUGGAAUUCCUGGUGUAGCGGUGAAAUGCGCAGAUAUCAGGAGGAACACCGGUGGCGAAGGCGGCUUCUUGGCCUGUUCUUGACGCUGAGGCGCGAAAGCUGGGGGAGCAAACGGG
rnacentral:rRNA from 1 species